GGAAAGCGAAUACGAGAGCUCAUCGCACAUACCAGUAUCCACAACUCUUGCUGCGGCUGCAAGGCCAAACAUGGAACCACGCAUGCUUGGUGCUUUGCACAUAUUGGAAGCUGCCAACUCUUUUACGGAACUGCAAUUCCAUGGUAUGUCAUUUAUGCGGUAUACAUCAUUAUGUUGAUGUCAUGCAAUGUUUCCAGUUUUUACCUUGUUUUGUUGUAUAGUCAUUGUGCUAUGGCCAAAUGCCUGUGGCUCUUGCUGCGGCUGCAUGGCCACACAUGGAACCGAGCAUGCUUGAUUCACCACCAUACAGUCCAGGACCCGCAUAUGUGACCGGGGCUACAAGGUCACAAACAGACCCACAAGUGCUCGCCUUCAUGGAAAGGAUACUACAAGUGUUAAAUAGCAUAAAGCACACCCAGCAAGCCCAUUUGCAAUAUUUCAACGAGC